rnacentral:rRNA from 1 species
GUAGUCAUAUGCUUGUCUCAAAGAUUAAGCCAUGCAUGUCUAAGUAUAAGCAACUUGUACAGUGAAACUGCGAAUGGCUCAUUAAAUCAGUUAUCGUUUAUUUGAUAAUCCCUUACUACAUGGAUACCUGUGGUAAUUCUAGAGCUAAUACAUGCUUCAAGGAGUGGCUUUCGUCACUCUGCACUUAUUAGAUAAAAAACCAAUGCCCCUUUGGGGCUCCUUGGUGAUUCAUGAUAACUUUACGAAUCGCAUGGCCUUGUGCCGGCGAUGGUUCAUUCAAAUUUCUGCCCUAUCAACUUUCGAUGGUAGGAUAGUGGCCUACCAUGGUUUCAACGGGUAACGGGGAAU